AGCGAACGCUGGCGGCAGGCUUAACACAUGCAAGUCGAGCGGGCAUCUUCGGAUGUCAGCGGCAGACGGGUGAGUAACACGUGGGGACGUACCCUUCGGUUCGGAACAACUCUGGGAAACUGGAGCUAAUACCGGAUACGCCCUUAUGGGGAAAGGUUUACUGCCGAAGGAUCGGCCCGCGUCUGAUUAGCUGGUUGGUGGGGUAACGGCCUACCAAGGCGACGAUCAGUAGCUGGUCUGAGAGGAUGAUCAGCCACACUGGGACUGAGACACGGCCCAGACUCCUACGGGAGGCAGCAGUGGGGAAUAUUGGACAAUGGGCGCAAGCCUGAUCCAGCCAUGCCGCGUGAGUGAUGAAGGCCUUAGGGUUGUAAAGCUCUUUUGUCCGGGACGAUAAUGACGGUACCGGAAGAAUAAGCCCCGGCUAACUUCGUG
rnacentral:rRNA from 1 species